AAUACUGUAUAAUCCCUGCGGGGGAAAGAUUUAUCGCUAUUAGAUGAGCCUAUGUUAGAUUAGCUAGUUGGUAGGGUAAAGGCCUACCAAGGCAGUGAUCUAUAGCUGGUCUGAGAGGAUGAUCAGCCACACUGGAACUGAGAUACGGUCCAGACUCCUACGGGAGGCAGCAGUGGGGAAUAUUGGACAAUGGGCGCAAGCCUGAUCCAGCUAUGCCGCGUGAGUGAGGAAGGCCUUAGGGUUGUAAAACUCUUUCAGUGGGGAAGAUAAUGACGGUACCCACAGAAGAAGUCCCGGCAAACUCCGUGCCAGCAGCCGCGGUAAUACGGAGGGGGCAAGCGUUGUUCGGAAUUAUUGGGCGUAAAGGGCAUGUAGGCGGUUCGGUAAGUUAAAGGUGAAAUGCCAGGGCUUAACCCUGGAGCUGCUU
rnacentral:rRNA from 1 species